rnacentral:rRNA from 1 species
AACGAACGCUGGCGGCAGGCCUCAAACAUGCAAGUCUAGGGGGUGUAGCAAUACAUCACCGGCGGACGGGUGCGUAACGCGUGGGAAUAUACCUAUCGAUUCGGAACAACUGAGGGAAACUUCAGCUAAUACCGAAUACGUCCUAACGGAGAAAGAUUUAUCGUCGAUAGAUUAGCCCGCGUUCGAUUAGCUAGUUGGCGGGGUAACGGCCCACCAAGGCGACGAUCGAUAGCUGUUCUGAGAGGAAGAUCAGCCACACUGGGACUGAGACACGGCCCAGACUCCUACGGGAGGCAGCAGUUGGGAAUCUUGGACAAUGGGGGAAACCCUGAUCCAGCCAUGCCGCGUGAGUGAUGAAGGCCUUCGGGUUGUAAAACUCUUUCGCGCACGACGAUAAUGACGGUAGUGCGAGAAGAAGCUCCGGCUAACUUCGUGCCAGCAGCCGCGGUAAU